UGGGGAAUCUUGCGCAAUGGGGGAAACCUUGACGCAGCAACGCCGCGUGGGUGAUGAAGGCCUUCGGGUCGUAAAGCCCUGUCAGGUGGGAAGAAACGUAUCGGUGAUAAUACCACCGAUAUUUGACGGUACUACCGGAGGAAGCACCGGCUAACUCCGUGCCAGCAGCCGCGGUAAUACGGAGGGUGCAAGCGUUGUUCGGAAUUACUGGGCGUAAAGCGCGUGUAGGCGGUCGGGCAAGUCAGAUGUGAAAGCCUUCCGCUUAACGGAAGAAGUGCAUUUGAAACUACCCGGCUGGAGUACGGGAGAGGAGAGUGGAAUUCCCGGUGUAGAGGUGAAAUUCGUAGAUAUCGGGAGGAACACCAGUGGCGAAGGCGGCUCUCUGGUCCGAUACUGACGCUGAUACGCGAAAGCGUGGGGAGCAAACAGG
rnacentral:rRNA from 1 species